rnacentral:rRNA from 1 species
CAAGGAAGGCAGCAGGCGCGCAAAUUACCCACUCCCGGCACGGGGAGGUAGUGACGAAAAAUAACGAUACGGGACUCAUCCGAGGCCCCGUAAUCGGAAUGAGUACACUUUAAAUCCUUUAACGAGGAUCAAUUGGAGGGCAAGUCUGGUGCCAGCAGCCGCGGUAAUUCCAGCUCCAAUAGCGUAUAUUAAAGUUGUUGCGGUUAAAAAGCUCGUAGUCGAAUCUGUGUCGUGCGCCGCCGGUUCAUCGCUCGCGGUGUCAACUGGCGUGUCGCAGGACGUCCUGCCGGUGGACUUAGCCGUCUCGUCGUCCCGUCGCCGCUCCUCUCGCGGGGAGUCGGUCGGUCGGUGCGCCUGGCGGCGGUCCAACUUCAACAAUCCCACCGCGGUGCUCUUCGCUGAGUGUCGAGGUGGGCCGGCACGUUUACUUUGAACAAAUUAGAGUGCUUAAAGCAGGCUAAAACUUCGCCUGAAUACUGUGUGCAUGGAAUAAUGGAAUAGGACCUCGGUUCUAUUUUGUUAGUUUUCGGAACCCCGAGGUAAUGAUUAAUAGGAACGGAUGGGGGCAUUCGUAUUGCGACGUUAGAGGUGAAAUUCUUGGAUCGUCGCAAGACGGACUUAAGCGAAAGCAUUUGCCAAAAACGCUUUCAUUGAUCAAGAACGAAAGUUAGAGGUUCGAAGGCGAUCAGAUACCGCCCUAGUUCUAACCAUAAACGAUGCCAGCUAGCGAUCCGUCGACGUUCCUCCGAUGACUCGACGGGCAGCUUCCGGGAAACCAAGCUUUUGGGUUCCGGGGAA